rnacentral:rRNA from 1 species
AACGAACGCUGGCGGCAUGCCUAACACAUGCAAGUCGAACGAGACCUUCGGGUCUAGUGGCGCACGGGUGCGUAACGCGUGGGAACCUGCCCUUAGGUUCGGAAUAACUCCCCGAAAGGGGUGCUAAUACCGGAUAAUGUCUUCGGACCAAAGAUUUAUCGCCUUUGGAUGGGCCCGCGUUGGAUUAGCUAGUUGGUAGGGUAAAAGCCUACCAAGGCGACGAUCCAUAGCUGGUCUGAGAGGAGGAUCAGCCACACUGGGACUGAGACACGGCCCAGACUCCUACGGGAGGCAGCAGUGGGGAAUAUUGGACAAUGGGCGAAAGGCUGAUCCAGCAAUGCCGCGUGAGUGAUGAAGGCCUUAGGGUUGUAAAGCUCUUUUACCCGGGAUGAUAAUGACAGUACCGGGAGAAUAAGCUCCGGCUAACUCCGUG